CCUACGGGUGGCAGCAGUGGGGAAUAUUGCACAAUGGGGGAAACCCUGAUGCAGCAACGCCGCGUGAGUGAGGAAGUAUUUCGGUAUGUAAAGCUCUAUCAGCAGGGAAUAGAAAAGAAGGUACCUGAAAAAGAAGCCCCGGCUAACUACGUGCCAGCAGCCGCGGUAAUACGUAGGGGGCAAGCGUUAUCCGGAUUUACUGGGUGUAAAGGGAGCGUAGACGGAAAGGCAAGUCAGAAGUGAAAUCCUGCGGCUUAACCGCAGAACUGCAUUUGAAACUGUUGAUCUUGAGUACUGGAGAGGCAGACGGAAUUCCUAGUGUAGCGGUGAAAUGCGUAGAUAUUAGGAGGAACACCAGUGGCGAAGGCGGUCUGCUGGACAGCAACUGACGGUGAGGCGCGAAAGCGUGGGGAGCAAACAGGAUUAGAUACCCCAGUAGUC
rnacentral:rRNA from 1 species